GUGACCACUUCAGCAGCACAUAUACUAAAACUGGAACGAUACAGAGAAGAUUAGCAAGGCCCCUGCGCAAGGAUGACACACAAAUUCGUGAAGUGUUCCAUAUUUUU
rnacentral:snRNA from 1 species